AAACCAACUGGGAUUACCUUAGUAACGGCGAGUGAAGCGGUAAAAGCUCAAAUUUGAAAUCUGGUACUUUCAGUGCCCGAGUUGUAAUUUGUAGAAUUUGUCUUUGAUUAGGUCCUUGUCUAUGUUCCUUGGAACAGGACGUCAUAGAGGGUGAGAAUCCCGUUUGGCGAGGAUACCUUUUCUCUGUAAGACUUUUUCGAAGAGUCGAGUUGUUUGGGAAUGCAGCUCAAAGUGGGUGGUAAAUUCCAUCUAAAGCUAAAUAUUGGCGAGAGACCGAUAGCGAACAAGUACAGUGGUGGAAAGAUGAAAAGAACUUUGAAAAGAGAGUGAAAAAGUACGUGAAAUUGUUGAAAGGGAAGGGCAUUUGAUCAGACAUGGUGUUUUUGCAUGCACUCGCCUCUCGUGGGCUUGGGCCUCUCAAAAAUUUCACUGGGCCAACAUCAAUUCUGGCAGCAGGAUAAAUCAUUAAGAAUGUAGCUACUUCGGUAGUGUUAUAGCUUUUUGGAAUACUGUUAGCCGGGAUUGA
rnacentral:rRNA from 1 species